ensembl:lncRNA
UUUUUUCUCUCCAAAUGCUCCAUUUCCCACUUAGCACAAACUGGCUGCACGCUGACUUGCAAAAGUUGAUGCCUCCCAGAAAUCCGCUCUUAAGUACAGAGUUAGCCAAGCACAUUUCCUGUGAGGACGCCCCUGACCUGACAGAGCAGGAUGGGAAUCCUUCCUUCCUGUGUCCAGGUGGGCUUAUAAAACCUUUCUGAUCAUAGACAUGGAAUUAUGCUCAAACCUAACUUGAAAGAGAUGUGUUUUUUUUCAUUCCCACUUCCUGUGGCCUAAAGAAAAAACCUGACAGUUCCUGACAGUUUGAAUUUUAUCUUUCCACUCUGGGAGCCAGCCACACGGCAGAAUUAGAUUCCUUAGUCAAACAAACGAACUACAGAGGCUCCAUUAUGUUGCCGCUUCAAAACAGGAAGCUGGGGUGAGUGAUGGUGGAGGGCUGGUUUUACAUAAUGAAGGAGGCUGGGGGCUGGAGUUUGGGAAAACGGGGCCCUUUGGGGGUCUGCUCCUUCCCACCCCGGUGUCUCUGUUCAGCUUGGGCAGCUGCCCCCUCGGACCCAGAUGCCCAGGCUCCUCGCCCUGGAGGAGGGUGGCCCCCAUGUCUGGCACAGGAGUCCACAGCACUGCGGGGAAGUUGCCAAACACCCUCCCCACUUAUCCACUCUCCGCCAGGCCUCUGGGGUGAGUUUGCCUCCGGACCCUGUGUAGGUGGCCCCAACCACAGAGGGGGAGCCCCGCUGACCUCCAAAACCACCAAAGGAAAGGGGAGCAUCCAAAGGGUCCAGAUGUGAACCAUCAGGAUGCAGAGAGGAAGACGUGCUCACCAUCUUCCCGCGCCUCCGCGGUCACCCUCCCCAGAAGAGGCUAGGGCUUCCCUUUGAACCCGUGGCUCCCACAACUACAAAGAACCUUCCAGAAGGCCACUGGGAGGUCCACAUUUGAGAAACCCAUCAUUUCCCCGCCUCAGAGAAGCGGCCAGAGCAACCUAACCUUGGCUUCACCUUGGGUAGCUGGACUUGGCUUGCAUCACUUUGAAAGAGUAAACCCCAGAUAGGCCCCCAGAGAGCCCUGUGCUGCUCAUUUAUGAAGCUUUAAAACAAUCUCACGUCCUCUGCAAAUGGCCUUCAGGGGCCACCCACACGGACGUGAAUCACUGGCCUGUGCAUCGCGUUCAUCUUCCAACAAUGCCACCCACAGGUUGGGGGACCCAGGGGCUUUCAAGGGAAGUUUCAAGCAGAGAAAGGAGCCGGAUUCAGGUCCAAGUUCUCUCUGCUCACUGAGGGGUGUGUAUCCUUCACGCCAUGGAGGAAUCAGGUCAGACUUCCUNNNNNNNNNNNNNNNNNNNNNNNNNNNNNNNNNNNUAAACCAGCAGGAACUUGGUUUCCUUCUCUUCCAGCCCUGACUCCCUAUCGGAAGACUGAGACCAAGAGCACAAGAGAUUUAUGACCAGGGUCCUAGAAUCCGUGGUAACUUGUGAAUUUUCCCAUCAAAGGCUGUUAAGAACACAGCUUUAUAAUAUGGCAUGUGUGCACAUCUGUAUUUUUACUUUUAAAAGGGACCAUAUGCUCAAAAAUCAUUGGCAUCUCUGGUCAAAAGUCACCAAGAGAAAUUAGAAAUCCAUUCUUCCCUUAAAAUUUGAUAGCUGAAUCAGGUCCUCCACCAAGCCCAGGGUUCCCAAGCAGAAAUAUAUCACUUAACUGGUUUUAAAAAAAAAUCAGGCAAGUUCCAGAAAUGCAAACCUCAAACUAUGGGCACAACUGAUUUAUCCCCUGUUCCUUCCCACCUAAAGAAUGUGAAAAUAAGCUUAAUUUUAAUAUGAAGGGACUUACACGCCCACCAGGCAGAGUUUCAGGAAUCACUGAGGGGGACAAGAUUUUGCUUUCAAUACUGGGAAAUAAACUUUAAUCUGUCAGGUAUAGAAAUGUUCUUGGGAAUUAAUAAUAUUAUAGCACAGUGCUUUCUAAGUAUGGCUACAAAAG